rnacentral:sRNA from 12 species
AGCAGGCAUGCGCCGGGUAAACUCUUGGUCGUCCGAUGGACGGCAGUCCCUAAUGGGACGGGAUCCUAGAGCCGGGGGCCUGCUUAUUU